rnacentral:sRNA from 1 species
UCUGGCCUGCGUACGCCGGGGCACCGCGGCGGCUGAGGGAAGGGGGUGCUUCGCCUGUGGUGGUUGCCGCCUGGGCGCCACUGGCCUAGGGCCUUUCAGUCAUUCAUUCAAGCCACGAAUAACUGGCGCCGUCGUGCAGGCCUUGUGGGUAGAGCAAAAAGAAAUUGAAGAAUGUAAAGGGAGAGCGCCUUUGGCUAGUAUAGCGAGAUCUGAAGAAGACACUUGAAUCAUGGGUGACGUUAAAAAUUUUCUGUAUGCCUGGUGUGGCAAAAGGAAGAUGACCCCAUCCUAUGAAAUUAGAGCGGUGGGGAACAAAAACAGGCAGAAAUUCAUGUGUGAGGUUCAGGUGGAAGGGUAUAAUUACACUGGCAUGGGAAAUUCCACCAAUAAAAAAGAUGCACAAAGCAAUGCUGCCAGAGACUUUGUUAACUAUUUGGUUCGAAUAAAUGAAAUAAAGAGUGAAGAAGUUCCAGCUUUUGGGGUAGCAUCUCCACCCCCACUUACUGAUACUCCUGACACUACAGCAAAUGCUGAAGGAGAUUUACCAACAACCAUGGGAGGACCUCUUCCUCCACAUCUGGCUCUCAAAGCAGAAAAUAAUUCUGAGGUAGGGGCCUCUGGCUAUGGUGUUCCUGGGCCCACCUGGGACCGAGGAGCCAACUUGAAGGAUUACUACUCAAGAAAGGAAGAACAAGAAGUGCAAGCGACUCUAGAAUCAGAAGAAGUGGAUUUAAAUGCUGGGCUUCAUGGAAACUGGACCUUGGAAAAUGCUAAAGCUCGUCUAAACCAAUAUUUUCAGAAAGAAAAGAUCCAAGGAGA